UACGAAGGGUGCAAGCGUUACUCGGAAUUACUGGGCGUAAAGCGCACGUAGGCGGAUAUUUAAGUCAGGGGUGAAAUCCCGCAGCUCAACUGCGGAACUGCCUUUGAUACUGGGUAUCUAGAGUAUGGAAGAGGUGAGUGGAAUUCCGAGUGUAGAGGUGAAAUUCGUAGAUAUUCGGAGGAACACCAGUGGCGAAGGCGGCUCACUGGUCCAUUACUGACGCUGAGGUGCGAAAGCGUGGGGAGCAAACAGG
rnacentral:rRNA from 1 species